UACGGGGGGGGCAAGCGUUGUUCGGAAUUACUGGGCGUAAAGGGCUCGUAGGCGGCCAACUAAGUCAGACGUGAAAUCCCUCGGCUUAACCGGGGAACUGCGUCUGAUACUGGAUGGCUUGAGUUCGGGAGAGGGAUGCGGAAUUCCAGGUGUAGCGGUGAAAUGCGUAGAUAUCUGGAGGAACACCGGUGGCGAAGGCGGGUCUCUGGGCCGAAACUGACGCUGAGGAGCGAAAGCGUGGGGAGCAAACAGG
rnacentral:rRNA from 1 species